rnacentral:rRNA from 1 species
UACAGAGGUCUCAAGCGUUGUUCGGAAUCACUGGGCGUAAAGGGUGCGUAGGCCGCACGGUAAGUCAGAGGUGAAAUCCCGGAGCUCAACUUCGGAAUUGCCUCCGAUACUGCCGUGCUUGAGGACUGGAGAGGAGAUUGGAAUUCACAGUGGAGCAGUGAAAUGCGUAGAUAUUGUGAGGAACACUAGUGGCGAAGGCGAAUCUCUGGACAGCUCCUGACGCUGAGGCACGAAGGCCAGGGGAGCAAACGGG